GGUUCCCAUGAGCCCCCGCGCCUCCCGUCAGCCCCGGCGCUGGCCCCACCCCUGCGCCGGCGCGUCCGGACAAGACGGCUGCGGGUGUUUCAGAGCGUGGCAUGGUGUCAAGCAACAGUAAAAACACUCACCUGCCUGGGAAGGCAAUUCCUUCGCUGGACUGACAGCAAACCUGCACCAGGUGCACAAUAGUGAGAAACACCAGCAUCUAUCUUGUCAGUCUAGUUUUCUCCUCUUGCUGAGCUGAUGGAAAAGUGGUGAAGAAGAAAUGAGUGGAGGACAAACAUAAUUUGAAGUACUGUUGCUAACUGUUCAAUGCAACUCUUAUUUAAGAGGAAAUCAUGCUGCAGAAUCUUGGGGUUGUACUGUUGCUCAAAGACAUCUUUGGCAAGAGGGCAGCUGCUAAGCUGGGCUUCAGGCUGAGUUUGCAUUUGUUUGCAGAAGAUCAAUAACAUUCACUGACAGGCUGAACCAGACGACUUGACAGCAGCGGACUUCCUAAGAAAUCAGGGUUAGUAGGCAGAAGGGGAAGGGAUGGUAGUGCACACCAGCCUGAGUCAGAGUUUGCUCUGUCAGUACAGCGGUGUUCCAAAUAGGACCAGUCACUGGGAAGAGUAUGUGGGGCUUUUGGCUUCCAAGGAGUAAAGGGGGAAAAAGGUGAAGAGGCAGCCUGAUGAUUAGGAAAAGUAAAAUCUGCUCAGUGCUUGGAGAAUAGAGAGGGGCAGGAAUUCUUUCAGAACAAGCUUUUUUAGGAAGAGUUACGGCAUUGUUUUGUGGUGUCUCCCAACUCUAGAAGCAGCAGAAGGAAGAUGGUUCUGGAGUGGGUCUCACAAAUGGCCCCCGAUAGGUCAUUUGAAACAGUGUAAAAUGGCCACCUGUGCAUAAGUGCAGGCCCCUCCGCGCUGCUCUGUGGUUGCUGCAACUGCAUGAAGGGACCUGAUCUAUAGCUGGUUGGAAGAAAAAGUGGUUCUCUGCUGUCCUCUGUUCAAGAAUAAAAUAAGUUCUUGUAAGCUAA